rnacentral:rRNA from 1 species
GAGUUUGAUCCUGGCUCAAGAUGAACGCUGGCGGCGUGCUUAACACAUGCAAGUCGAACGAAGAAGUUUUAGUUUACUAGAACAACUGAGUGGCGGACGGGUGAGUAACGCGUGGGCAACCUGCCCCAUACCGGGGGAUAACAGCCGGAAACGGCUGCUAAUACCGCAUACGCCCAGGAGGCUGCAUAGCUUCCUGGGGAAAACUCCGGUGGUAUGGGAUGGGCCCGCGUCUGAUUAGCUCGUUGGCGGGGUAACGGCCCACCAAGGCAACGAUCAGUAGCCGGCCUGAGAGGGCGGCCGGCCACAUUGGGACUGAGACACGGCCCAGACUCCUGCGGGAGGCAGCAGUGGGGAAUAUUGCACAAUGGGGGAAACCCUGAUGCAGCGACGCCGCGUGAGCGAUGAAGUAUCUCGGUAUGUAAAGCUCUAUCAGCAGGGAAGAAAGUGACAGUACCUGACUAAGAAGCCCCGGCUAACUACGUGCCAGCAGCCGCGGUAAUACGUANGGAGCGAGCGUUAUCCGGAAUUAUUGGGUGUAAAGGGUGCGUAGACGGGAAAGCAAGUUAGUUGUGAAAUCCCUCGGCUUAACUGANGAACUGCAACUAAAACUACUUUUCUUGAGUGCAGGAGAAGUAAGUGGAAUUCCUAGUGUAGCGGUGAAAUGCGUAGAUAUUAGGAGGAACACCAGUGGCGAAGGC